rnacentral:tRNA from 1 species
CCCGCCUUAGCUCAGCCUGGUUAGAGCGGUCGGCUGUAGAAACCGACAGGUCCCCGAUUCAAAUUCGGGAGGCGGGA